AGCUGCAGAAGAAGCACCGGCUAACUCCGUGCCAGCAGCCGCGGUAAUACGGAGGGUGCGGAGCGUUAAUCGGAAUUACUGGGCGUAAAGCGCAUGCAGGUGGUUUGUUAAGUCAGAUGUGAAAGCCCCGGGGCUCAACCUCGGAAUUGCAUUUGAAACUGGCAAACUAGAGUACUGUAGAGGGGGUAGAAUUUCAGGUGUAGCGGUGAAAUGCGUAGAGAUCUGAAGGAAUACCGGUGGCGAAGGCGGCCCCCUGGACAGAUACUGACACUCAGAUGCGAAAGCGUGGGGAGCAAACAGGAUUAGAUACCCUCGUAG
rnacentral:rRNA from 1 species